UUUAAAUGGGCAGAAAAAAGU
rnacentral:piRNA from 1 species